GCCCCAGUCACACUAGAUCGUCAACCAGCUGAAGGGGGAUGAGAUUAUUCCCUCUGAAGGAAAUUUUAAAAAAGAAGAAAGAAAGAAAGAAAAAAGCCACAAUGCAGUUCCCAAUUUGAAUACGAACAGACACUGCUGCUGUUUGAAAAGGCAAAUCGGACCGAUGACUACACGAAAGAGAAAGCAUGGACGGCAAAAUGUCAAUUCCUCUACUGGCUCUGUAACUCACAGGACACUUGACGGGCUGGUGCAUUUGUCCUAGCGGACAGAAAGACUAAUGAAAGAAGCAGCUGAACAAUUUUUUUAUCUGUCUUAUUCAGGCAUACUAAUGGCUACCAACUUUCUCUCAAAACAGUUAUUUUAAAAGUAAAUACAUAUGAUUAAUCCUAAUUCCAAUUCUAAA